rnacentral:lncRNA from 13 species
AUGUCUGCCACAAAGUUGUCUAAUCUUGGCAAGCAUCAAUUAAAGGCAUACCUAACACGGCCGUACUCGGAAUGCAAGGUGACCGCGACGACCCCGAGAGCGCGCCAAGCGAGCGUGCAGGGCUGGGGGCCCAGGACUCCCGGCCGCGGCCCCGGCGCGUGGUCUGCGCGCGCUCGGCAGUGCGUGCGCCUGCGGGGAGGCUGCGUGUGUGCGCCGAGCGGGAGCGCCGGCCGCCUUCCCGCUUCCGAGCUGGGUGCGCGCUGUGCGCAGGAGGUGAGUGAGAAGGGCGGCCCUCCAGGAGCUCUGAGGUGGCUGAGUCCAGCGGCUGGGUGGCGGGCGUGGCCAACGGGCCCGCUUUUCUCGAAACGCGCCAUCCUCGGGAACGCCGAGACCCGGACGGCGAGGCCGGGAGGCACCGCCCACUCCUCCGGUCCUCUCCUGAGCGCGGCCCACGUUGAGCCGCCGCGCCCUCGGGCGCGGGCCUGGGUGACGAGCAGCUCCCCGGCUCCGAGUGCCUGCGUUUGGGAGGUGGCUGCUUUGUCGGAAAAGCUACCAUCAAGGAAGGAAUUGACAAAUCAUGUGUUUUUUUCUCUUUUCAUAGUAGUUCACAGCAGAUCUGAGUGUUUUAAUUAAAGCAUGGAAUACGGAAAACAACAGAAAACUUAAAGCUUUAAUUUCAUCUGGAAUUCCACAGUAUUUGUCACAGCUGCAUCCUGCUGAAUGUUCCAUUGGUGAAACUGAAGGUCUUCUUACUCAGAAGAAGAAAAUCAAGAAGAAGAACCUUUGGCUUG